rnacentral:rRNA from 1 species
GACGAACGCUGGCGGCGCGCCUAACACAUGCAAGUCGAACGAGCGAGAGAGAGCUUGCUUUCUCGAGCGAGUGGCGAACGGGUGAGUAACGCGUGAGGAACCUGCCUCAAAGAGGGGGACAACAGUUGGAAACGACUGCUAAUACCGCAUAAGCCCACGACCCGGCAUCGGGUUGAGGGAAAAGGAGCAAUCCGCUUUGAGAUGGCCUCGCGUCCGAUUAGCUAGUUGGUGAGGUAACGGCCCACCAAGGCGACGAUCGGUAGCCGGACUGAGAGGAAGGUCCCCCACAUUGGUACUGAGACACGGACCAA